AAGCACACACACAUAUUUUUAAAUUUUUUAAAUUAAGCUAACAGUUCUGAAUAUGGACCCAAACUUCCCUUAACUCAUAGACACAGAACAUCUACUUACUAUACCCAUUAAGCACUAGAGAUCUAGAGAUGCUUUGCUCUCUUCCUUUCCCGUUUUUAAUUUUUCUUUUUAGAUUGGGCCUUCCUGUGCAGGGCUAUGCCUACCUCAGCCUCCGGGGUGCUAGAAUAUAGGUGUGCACCACCUUCGAAGCUGCCUUCGGCACGCGAGCCAACUACUGUCGCCUGUGGCAACCUGCCAGUUCUUUUCAGGUCCCCCUUCUGUGAGAUUCCUUCUGAGACUCACAACCCUCUAGCAGGACAUCCUAAGACUAAAGCAGUAAGCGUCUAUCACUGGAGUGAAGAACACAGAAUGAAAAAUGGUGCCGUGUGUUACUACUACAAACGGUGAAAACCGAGUAACUAACUACACGGUAUCAGAGACCCCCAGGUCUUGGACUUGGAGAAAUAGUGACAGAUCACAUUGCUACUCUGACUGAAUGAGUCAUACUUACUUGAAUUGUAAUAUGCUCUAAAACUACAAAUAAAACACUACCCAAUCACUUAA